rnacentral:lncRNA from 1 species
AUGGCUCCGCUACAAAAAAGUCAUCUUUAAUUUCAAUGCAGUCUUCACCAGAAUUCCAAUGACCUGCUUCAGGGAACUAGAAAAACAAAACAACAACAAAAAUCCAAACUUAAAAUUCAUAUGAAAACACAAACAAUGCUAAAUAGUCCACAAAGCAAUCCUGUGCACACACAAAGCAAUCCUGUGCACACACAAAGCAAUCCUGUGCACACACAAAGGAAUCCUUUGCACAUACAAAGCAAUCCUGUGCACACACAGCAAUCCUUUGCACAUAAAGCAAUCCUGUGCACACACAGCAAUCCUUUGCACAUAAAGCAAUCCUGUGCACACACAAAGCAAUCCUGUGCACACACAAAGCAAUCCUGUGCGCACAGCACUUAAUUCCUGACUUUAAAUUAUAUGACAGAACCACAGUAAAACUACCAGCAUGGUACUGACACAAAGACAGAUGUGUAGACCAAUGGAGUAGAAAAGAAGACCCUGAAAUAAAUCUACAGAGCGGCAGCUGUCUGAUUCUUGGCAAAGAUGGCAAAAAGUGGAUGCUGGAGUAGAUAUGGCUUCUUCAAGUUCAGGGAGGAAAACCUGGAUUCAGAUGGAGACUCAGUCCUCAUCCUAUACAGCAUCAACUCAAAAUGGACCAAGCAACUUCAUGUAAGACCUAAACCAAACCCUGCAGGAAGGCAGAGGAAAGGGGUAGAGACCUUGGCAUAUGCCAUGACUUUCUGAGGAGGAUAUAAACAGAUACAGAAAUCACGACAUCAGCUAUGGAACUGCACAGGAACCAAAACACUGGAGUAAGGAGAUGGCGUGAAGAAUUCAUGUGUGUGUGCACUCGGAGGGUGCCUGAUGUCCAGACUACAUAAGGAACUAAAUAACUACCAAAAGGACAAACCAUUCCACCAGCAAAUGGUCAAAUAAACAAAGCAAACACUUUUCAGAAGAAGUAAUCAAUGCACAAAGGGGUCCAACAUCUUUAGAAACUGGGAAAAUGAAAUCAAAUGUUAUCUAUUGAGAGGCUAUCAUCCCAGUUGGAAUGACUCUACCAUCAAGAAAACGAAAGAUCAGUGAGGAUGUAGGGAAGGGACAAUAAACACUCUGGCAUAAGGGUAAAUUAGUGGAGCCACUGUGGGAGCAGGUGCCAAUGUCUGAACUACUAACCCUGAGCUAUUGUAUUGCAUUUCUGGGUCUAUACCCCAGGAGUCAAAGUCUGCUUUUUGUAGAGCCACCUGCACACAGGGUCUAUUGCUACACUGUUCACUGGCUACACUGUAGCCAAAUUAUAGAAGCAGCCUAGAUAUGGAAGUGCAACAGUUGAUAAUGAAAAUGUGGCCUAUUACAAGUGGAGUUUCCUUAAACCACAGCAAAGAAUGAAUGGCACUUGGAGAUCAUCCUAUUAAGCAAAACCAGGGAGUAGCUAUCACAUAAGGGCUAUGGGAAAACAUGAGUGCAACCAUUGGGGAAGAACAGGAAGGGCAACAGACAGAGGGCUGCACAGGGCAAGAUUAUUACAUACUGUAACAAUUUCCCAGACUUUAAUAGAACUGACUCCACGAUGGAAGCACCAUUCGGGCUAUGAAACUCAGCAUGCAGACAACACCAUCUGCCAAAAUAAAAACAAAGACCUUAUUCAUCAAAGCCGUAGUUGUGGGGAAGUGUCUGAAUGUCCUACCCUUGCCUUUUGGCUUCUGUAGUUCUGCUUCUGGCUAACUGUUCUUGUUAACUGAAAUAUGUAAACUCGGAAUAGCCUUUUCUGUGCUUAAAAGCUCACCCCGAGAAAAGCCUGGGGCUACACUGGGAUACCAAACACCAAGUAUAGUCACUAGCUGGAUAAUAGACUUUCUAUUGGCUUAAACCCAUGUCUGAGUAUUCUUAGGAAAACACCCACCUCAUGACAAAACAUGUAUGAAAAUGUCACAAAACCUCUUCUUUUGUCUACUGGGGACACAAAGGUCCUUGCACUCAGAGAGCACUAGGGAACCAGGAAUGUUAAACAUACAAGGGUCCUCCUCAAAGGAGGAGAUA